ensembl:snoRNA
GAUGCAGAAAUGAUGAGCUUCCAUGUCUCUUCUCUGAUUGAACAUCUUGUGAAGAAAACUCUGCACAGCUCUGAUCUGCAGC